ACGGAAGGCAGCAGUGAGGAAUAUUGGUCAAUGGACGGAAGUCUGAACCAGCCGUGCCGCGUGAAGGAAUAAGGCCCUAUGGGUCGUAAACUUCUUUUGUGGUGGAGCAAUAAGGUGCACGUGUGCAUCGAUGAGAGUACAUCACGAAUAAGCAUCGGCUAACUCCGUGCCAGCAGCCGCGGUAAUACGGAGGAUGCGAGCGUUAUCCGGAUUUAUUGGGUUUAAAGGGUGCGUAGGCUGUUCUUCAAGUCAGAGGUGAAAUACCGGGGCUCAACCCUGGAACUGCCUUUGAUACUGGAGGGCUUGAAUACUGUUGCCGUGGGAGGAGUGAGUAGUGUAGCGGUGAAAUGCAUAGAUAUUACUCAGAACACCGAUUGCGAAGGCAUCUCACGAAACAGCGAUUGACGCUGAGGCACGAAAGCGUGGGGAUCAAACAGGAUUAGAUACCCUGGUA
rnacentral:rRNA from 1 species